CCUUAGUACACCAAUUAAAGGGGGCUUGUAGAAUUUCAUUAUACACCUAUAUUCAAGCCAAGGCUACGGGAUUCAUUGUACAUAUAUUCUUUAAGCCAAAAGAAGGGAAAAAAUCAGAAGAAAUCAAUAAAGAAGUUAGGAUUCCAAGUAUUUUACAAGAAGAGACAGAUUCUUAGUGCAAGAUCUUCACUCUUUUCUCGUUUUUUCUUGCUGCCCAAUGAUGUACUUUAAUUCAUUCUUGUAUUUUUACUCUUCUUCCAUAAUGUGUAAUUAAGUAUUUACUUAGGAUGAGUGAUUG
rnacentral:lncRNA from 1 species